rnacentral:tRNA from 1 species
AUUCUGAUAGCUCAAUAAGAGCUUUACAUUGAAGAUGUAAAGGUAGUUUUACUUUGGAAUA